rnacentral:tRNA from 1 species
GGAGAGGUGGCUCAGUGGUUAAGAGCACUGACUGCUCUUCCAAAGGUCCUGAGUUCAAUUCCCAGCAACCACA